rnacentral:rRNA from 1 species
CCUACGGGAGGCAGCAGUGGGGAAUAUUGGACAAUGGGGGAAACCCUGAUCCAGCGACGCCGCGUGAGUGAAGAAGUAUUUCGGUACGUAAAGCUCUAUCAGCAGGAAAGAAAAUGACGGUACCUGACUAAGAAGCCCCGGCUAACUACGUGCCAGCAGCCGCGGUAAUACGUAGGGGGCAAGCGUUAUCCGGAUUUACUGGGUGUAAAGGGAGCGUAGACGGCAGCGCAAGUCUGGAGUGAAAUGCCGGGGCUCAACCCCGGAACUGCUCUGGAAACUGUGAAGCUGGAGUGCAGGAGAGGUAAGCGGAAUUCCUGGUGUAGCGGUGAAAUGCGUAGAUAUCAGGAGGAACACCGGCGGCGAAGGCGGCUUACUGGACUGUAACUGACGUUGAUGCUCGAAGGCGUGGGGAGCAAACAGGAUUAGAUACCCGUGUAGUC